AUUGAACGCUGGCGGCAUGCCUUACACAUGCAGGUCGAACGGCAGCACGGGAGCAAUCCUGGUGGCGAGUGGCGAACGGGUGAGUAAUAUAUCGGAACGUGCCCAGUCGUGGGGGAUAACGUAGCGAAAGCUACGCUAAUACCGCAUACGAUCUAUGGAUGAAAGCGGGGGAGCGCAAGACCACGCGCGAUUGGAGCGGGCGAUAUCAGAUUAGGUAGUUGGUGGGGUAAAGACUCACCAAGCCGACGAUCUGUAGCUGGUCUGAGAGGACGACCAGCCACACUGGGACUGAGACACGGCCCAGACUCCUACGGGAGGCAGCAGUGGGGAAUUUUGGACAAUGGGCGCAAGCCUGAUCCAGCAAUGCCGCGUGCAGGAUGAAGGCCUUCGGGUUGUAAACUGCUUUUGUACGGAGCGAAAAGGCUUCCACUAAUACUGGGGGCUCAUGACGGUACCGUAAGAAUAAGCACCGACUAACUACGUGCCAGCAGCCGCAGUAAAAC
rnacentral:rRNA from 1 species